UACGUAGGGGGCGAGCGUUGUCCGGAAUCAUUGGGCGUAAAGCGCGUGUAGGCGGUCCGGUAAGUCCGCUGUGAAAGUCGGGGGCUCAACCCUCGGAUGCCGGUGGAUACUGUCGGGCUUGAGUACGGAAGAGGCGAGUGGAAUUCCUGGUGUAGCGGUGAAAUGCGCAGAUAUCAGGAGGAACACCGAUGGCGAAGGCAGCUCGCUGGGACGGUACUGACGCUGAGGCGCGAAAGCGUGGGGAGCAAACAGG
rnacentral:rRNA from 1 species